rnacentral:misc_RNA from 1 species
UGUGGGAGCCAGCCUGCUGGCGAUGCAGGCGCUGCGGUCAGUCAGAUACACCGCGCUGAUGCCAUCGCCAGCAGGCUGGCUCCCACA